UUUCUUUUCCAAAGCAAGCUGUUUUGUAUUUGCUAAUCUUAAAUAUGGAUUUAUAUAAUUGGGCAUUUGAUGGUUUUUUAUUCUCAUGUAUUAGUGAUGAUCGUUAUUGUUUAUUCUCAUGUAUUAGUGAUGAUCAUUAUUGUUUAUUCUCUUUGAGCCAUAUGUCGGCUCGAAUACUCUUUCAAACCAGCUCUUGCAGGUCUUUCUCAUGCUUUUCAAUGUUAGUGCUGAAACGGUAUAUGGCCUAGGUCCGUUUGUGUAUUGGAAUGGGCUGGUACAGAAUACAUGGGCUGGUGUGUGUGGGUUUGCAGUUAUUCAACAUUCACAACUUAGGAUUGCUUGAAGCAGCCUGGUGUCUGACUAACAUAGCAGCUGGAAAACCAAAACAGAAAACGGCUCUAUUGCCUGCAUUACCUCUGAAUGUCCCUUGGAGAAAUCCACUUUCAUGGAGAAUGAAGUGGUUGUAGCAAAUCAAGGGAAUGGAACAAUGAGAAAGACCCAGUUCCAACUUAAAUCUGUGGAGAGUUUUUAUUUGGCCAUGCUUAUCCUUAGAACAUGUUGUUCCUUAACUGCCUAGCAUUUUGUACCAUCAAGCAUGGCUGGUCCAUGAAUACUAAAAUGAAGAAAAGGAAGGCUGUAAAUUAGCAGAAAUGUAAUUAGCAGGUAGUUGAUUAUGGAGUCCAUAAGCUUUGGAAAUACAAUAACGUUGGGGUAUUUCAUCUAUUACCUACCUUGUCAAUUCCAUGUUGAAUAAAUUUGCUGGAAUUUCAGAUUAAUUGCUGAAAUUUCACCAUUACUUCUUACAUUUGACAGGUCCAUGUAUUUUGCCCCAAAUCAUGAAUAUUAGAUGUUUUUACAAUUCUGGAAAACUAUUUUCUUACAAAGGUAUUUAUAUUGGAAAUAGUCUAAGCCUCCUAACAAAUUAAAUAUAAUAGCAAAAAUAGUAAUUGAAGUAAAGUAAGAAAUGGUUCUAGUAGUUCAAUGUAAUAAUAUAUGCACAAAUUCAUUGGUGCAAAUUUGGGUUCGGUUUUAUGCCUUGAAACUUGAUUCUUGUAAAUGAAUCUUGAUAUGUUGGGAUGUGCUUGGCUGCUAUGUUUUUGGACAUUUGGCAAGCCAUCAGCUUGGCUAAUAUGCUUAAAGAUUA